UGUGCAGGCGGGAGGACAAGUGGUGUAUGAAAUUGCCAGGCUCAACCUGGCGAGGUUAUGCCAGACUGUUCUUCUAGAGUGCGAGAGAGGGGCGUGGAAUUCCGGGUGUAGUGGUGAAAUGCGUAGAGAUCCGGAGGAACCCCAGAGGCGAAGGCGGCGCCCUGGCUCGCAACUGACGCUCAGCCACGACAGCAUGGGGAGCGAACGGGAUUAGAAACCCCGGUAGUCCAUGCCGUAAACGAUGCAAACUAGGCGCUGGCGGUCUCAACCCCGCCGGUGCCGCAGCUAACGCGCUAAGUUUGCCGCCUGGGGAGUACGGCCGCAAGGCUAAA
rnacentral:rRNA from 1 species